rnacentral:rRNA from 1 species
GACGAACGCUGGCGGCGUGCUUAACACAUGCAAGUCGAACGGAAAGGCCCUGCUUUUGUGGGGUUCUCGAGUGGCGAACGGGUGAGUAACACGUGAGUAACCUGCCCUUGACUUUGGGAUAACUUCAGGAAACUGGGGCUAAUACCGGAUAGGAGCUCCUGCUGCAUGGUGGGGGUUGGAAAGUUUCGGCGGUUGGGGAUGGACUCGCGGCUUAUCAGCUUGUUUGGGGGGUAGUGGCUUACCAAGGGUUUGACGGGUAGCCGGCCUGGGAGGGUGACCGGCCACAUUGGGACUACGGUACGGCGCAGACUCCUACGGGAGGCAGCAGGGGGAAAUAUUGCACAAUGGGCGGAAGCCUGAUGCAGCAACGCCGCGUGCGGGAUGACGGCCUUCGGGUUAUAAACCGCUUUCGCCUGUGACGAAGCGUGAGUGACGGUAAUGGGUAAAGAAGCACCGGCUAACUACGUG